rnacentral:tRNA from 1 species
AGCCCCGUAGUGUAGCGGCCAAUCAUCUAGCCCUCUGGAGGCUGGGACCUCGGUUCAAAUCCGAGCGGGGCUA